GACCUCUGCCGCCAGGGGCUGAGGGCUUGGUGUCCUAUCUGUACCGGAGGGAAACACCUGCCAGUCCACCCCUCUGCAAAGUCUAGUUAAGCCUUGAACUUGAAGGAAUCCUCCAGGCUUAGCAGAAGCUACAUCCCGAUUCCUGCAGCUGAACAAUGUAACUGGCUUUUGGACUUUCUAUCCAGUUACCUCCUUGUGAUCUUCAGCAGCUGUGUUCCGGUGCCUUUGUUCAAUAAAGGUAGAGAUAAUAACUGUCUCUGAAAAGAAAAUGUGCCGAAGUUCCCAGGAGAAGUGGU